rnacentral:rRNA from 1 species
UACGGGGGGGGCAAGCGUUGUUCGGAAUUACUGGGCGUAAAGGGCUCGUAGGUGGCCAACUAAGUCGGACGUGAAAUCCCUCAGCUUAACUGGGGAACUGCGUCCGAUACUGGAUGGCUUGAGUUUGGGAGAGGGAUGCGGAAUUCCAGGUGUAGCGGUGAAAUGCGUAGAUAUCUGGAGGAACACCGGUGGCGAAGGCGGCUCUCUGGGACGGUACUGACGCUGAGACGCGAAAGCGUGGGGAGCGAACAGG